rnacentral:rRNA from 1 species
UCCCGACGCUCCGAGUCGCAGCCACAAUUAUUGGGUCUAAAACAUUCGUAGCUUGUUUUGUAAGUUUCUUGUGAAAUCUGGCAUCUUAAGUGUCAGGCGUGCAAGAAAUACUGCUAAACUAGGGACCGGAAGAAGUAAGGAGUAUGUUUGAGGUAGUGGUAAAAUAUGUUAAUCUCGAACAGACUAACAACAGCGAAGGCACCUUACUAGUACGGAUCUGACAGUGAGGAAUGAAGGCUAGGGUC